rnacentral:rRNA from 1 species
UACGGAGGAUGCAAGCGUUAUCCGGAAUCACUGGGCGUAAAGCGUCUGUAGGUUGCUCAGUAAGUCUGCUGUUAAAGAUUGGGGCUCAACCCCAAAGCAGCAGUGGAAACUGCUAGGCUAGAGUAUGGUAAGGGUAAAGGGAAUUCCCAGUGUAGCGGUGAAAUGCGUAGAUAUUGGGAAGAACACCAGAGGCGAAAGCGCUUUACUAGGCCAUUGCUGACACUCAGAGACGAAAGCUAGGGGAGCGAAUGGG